UUAAAGUAGAAAAUACAAGAGAUGCUCACAUUUUUUUUGCGGUACGAAUCUGGAAAGCAGACUGCAUAAUUUGUCGCAGAUGGCGCCAGACCAAUUAGGAGGCACAGAGAUACAAUCUUACGUAUAAGCUCCCGAAGGGAGCUAGAGAGGUAACUCUUUCCGCGCGUUUUUAUUUCCCAUAGGUUUUGUACAUAACAAACAUGGCUGCCGGCGGACAAUUUGAAGGUUGAUUUUGGAGGGUCAAUGUUUUAUUCAUGAGAAUGACGUCAAAAUACGCAUAAUGCACUUGUAUGAUUGGAUAAAACGCUAAUGUUUUAUUCAUGUACUCAUGCAUUAAACAUUUUUUCCGUCCCACAAUUCCCUACGAUAUCUGUGCGGAGUGUCGUUCUUUUGGACUCUGCGAAUUUCAAGUUUCUGAAACGAAAUAGCUAGACUAAUUAUCUGUUUAUAGAAUUGAUGUUCGAAAUCAUGGUAUCUGAGUGAACUUCAUUGGAGCAGAAAAUCUUGGAGGGAACAUCAAUACUAUUCUAAUGACAUUCCAUAGGAAUAAAAAUCCAAUGGGACCAAGUUCUUAGCAGUUCACACCUAGUCAGAAGUACAAAAUUGAGAACCAUGCCGAUCAGCAAGUGUUAGUUACAAUCUAAUGAGGAACAGGAUAUCUGAAUGGAAAAAUUGCAAGGUUUCCCACUUCCCAAGCUGUUCAAGUACUGGUAUCACAACAUAAGUGCCAAGAAGAGAUAUGAAGGCCAAGUUACUAAAAAGUAGUUACUUUAUUGCAAUAACACAUUAAAAAUGAAUUAAUUUGAAAUAAAUAUAUUAAUAAAGCAUUGAAUGUUAAUUGAACUACACAUCUGUAGAAAAGAGUGCGGUACAAGUUCAGGUUCAUCACAGGGGCCUUGGAACGGUUUUCAAAGUGGGGGCUGACCAUGCAAAAAAUCACAAUCGUACAUAAUUUUUACGUUUUUGUACAUGGUUUUGGAAAAAA